UCUGGUGGAUUCAACUUCAGUUGAAGACUUGGAAGGAUAUGCGCUUUUCGCAGUGAUAUGAAGGGAUAGUACAUGUGUCGGCUCACAAGCUUAUUUGUCGGGGUCGAUUGGAUUCAAUUCGGGUCCAAUCUGGGGCAUCUUAAUAUCGAGUUUUUAGUCUGGUCUGGUCUCGUCCAGUUUAUAUUGUGUUCAAGGAGAUGCUUAAAGAGGUGGGCGGAGUUCAGUUCAACGACAACGGCCAAAACAAUCAAUGAGAAAAAGGUAGGUGGUUUUGGCACGAUGACGUUGUGUAGCAUCAGUGUUCACAAGAUAUCUGCAUUGUACCAUGUAAUAAUAAUGUGCCCAACUGGGCAAUUAUGGGUUGCAUCAUAAGCAUUUGAUUUGUACUUAGUUGGGA
rnacentral:misc_RNA from 1 species